rnacentral:lncRNA from 1 species
CGGCAAGAGGAAGAAGAGUUUAUGAAAGCAUUUCCAUAGGGGAGGAGCAUUUGUUAGCUAAUUCAUCUUAGCCCUUUUUCUUCUUUUAUUCUCUACAUUCAUGAAUCUACUCGAGCUCUUUGGUAGUAUUAAGAUCCCCUACCCACCUUUCAUGUAAAAAGGCGACUUGCAAAUGUUUAUGGUUCUAAGGAUAAGUACCUCCUACUAAACGUCCUUAUUGAAAACGAAAGCGACACCCCUUGCUGAAAUAAGAUUCAAUAAAGUAGACCAUUUUUUUCCUUGGGCCGUAGAGAAUAAAACAUCAUUUCCCCCGGAAAAGAGGAUAAGAAUUUGUUGUCGAAGAGGGAUAUAAUUUUCCUUCAAUUAAUUAUUGAACCAAGUAGUGGCAGGACUACUUUUGAUUCUUUCUUGUCUAUCGGAUUCUGUUGAGAAGAAGGGAAAACCAUCCGACCCGCAGACUUUCAUGCUUGCUGUCCUAACAAGCCAAAUAGCAUAUAUAAGAGAAGAUGUUUUGAUAAAUUGUUGGGGCGAUGUGCAAGCUCUUACUUCUGUCUCCUAAGUUAGUUAAUAGAUCUAGAAAGCUCCGCCCAAAGGUGCUUUUUGAAAGCCGGUCCCCGGUAGCCUAAGAUCCGUCUUUGACAGAAGAAGAAAGCUAGGUGGAUCAUCCUCAUGGAGGAGGUGAGGGGUGCACGAAAGGAGGGGCUUCGGUUAAUGCCUUUGUCCGUAGGCGGUUGUACACUUUAAGCUUGAAGUAAGAAGAGAUAUUUUUCGGGAAAAAAAGGGGGAAAAUAAAAGUCUAAGUGCAUAUGGCACGAAAAGGAAUCCUAUUUCAGUAAGACUUGAGAAGAUUUUGAGUUCAAAUAUCCUUCGUCCGGUUCGUCAUUUAUUGACAGAUUUU